CUGAUCGGGCACUCUGGCGGGGAACUGUUGCCUAAAAGUUCAAGCUUCUCGCCCUCCCAGGGACAAAAAAAAAGUCACUUAGACGUGUGGACAGUUCACACCUGACAGCAUCACAGUGCCCCAAGACAGAAGAAAAUUCAAACCCGCUGCCUUCCAAAAUGUUGUGCAAAAUCAGCCGCGAUCUCUCUCUCUCUCUCUCUGGUUGUAUGUGAGAUGGGAGAGAGGGGGAGGAAAAUUUCACACUUAUGGGCCGGCUGUCAGUGAAGCGAAGCCCGCUCUCCAGCUUUCCUCCGCCCGAUGGGAGACUACACCCUUCCCCGGCCGCAGCUCUCGGCCUGCAGCUCCAUCGAUCCUUCCUGAAUUUUUUACAAAACACAACACCCUGGGUUCUCUCUCUCUCUGUUCACCCUCCCUACAGCAGCAAGCCAGCUCCUUGCGUCAACACCCCGAGCAAAUGCAGCAGCAGAACUCUGGCAGCAAGCGGCGCCUAUAAAUAAAUGUGGAUGCCUACUCUCAACUUGGACUUGAACGUGAGAAAGACCCCCAAGUGCCUAGAUCUCUUAUCAAGCUAGAAAAGGAAUACUUCAGUCAUCGUGAAUUUUACGUAUUUUUUAAAUUUUAAGACAAGGAAAGUCAGCCUGCAAGUUUGAGCGCACCAAUUACUCGCAUCAAGGUAUUAGAUCUGUUGAAAAACGGGGUGCCUUAGCAUCUUGAUGCAAUGGUCGAGACAAUUAAGGCGAGUGGAUGGGACACAGCUCGGAAGUAAAAGUACAAAGCGAAACCAGAAUUGAAAUACAGGACGAAUGAAAAUAUACGACAGGAGGUUAGGAGCUCAGCACUGGACUAAAUAUUCCAACAUGUUGCAACCAAAACCGGGCUUGUUAAUCUUAGGUUUUUCGCCGCGUCAGCAAUUUAGCAAUAACCUGAUAAUAACAGCACAGAUUCCUCUCAAUGUAUGUUCAAUAAUUCCUAAUUGAACACGUGCACAUCUUUCUGUUGUAGGUUUAAGCAUCUGAAUUAGUUUACAUCAGCCAAUUGCACAUCAACAUUAUAUUCUGUCCAGUAUCUCUCGGGCUAUUGAUUAAAUUAAACCUGGGGUUCUAAAAGUACCUAUUGUGAAGUUUUUUUUUGAUUUUGAUAGGUCAACACAUGUAUUUUCAUAGUACU